GGCUUCCAGUUCUGCUCAGUUCAGCACUCGAGUUCUGGGUGACCCAAAUCCUGUUCUGGGCGCCCGAAACUGGCAAAACUCCCGUUUUGCUCCUUUGAGGGCGCCAAGUCUAUUUCUGCAUCCAUUUCAUGCAGAAACGACUUCGAUUCAGUCCGACACUCUCCAGAUGUGUCGACCAGUCACUAAUACUGCAGCCAAUCCUAUCCAAACCUCCGGAACACUACAAAAGUUAAGUUAGUAUACAGUUCAAAAUUAAAACCAAUUAUCUAAAUAAUUUUAAAUUUCUAUACUUUGUUAAAUUAAUAUUAGGAAAUGGUAUUUUAAAAAUAAUGGACUAUAUUUUUCAUAAAUUUUUUAUCUAAAGAGUAUUUGUCACGUCCCGGAUUAUACAUUUUUCCGGGCACACCGACAAAUCCGCCGUAUACAAAAGAAUUUCUCCUAUACACGAAGCGAUAACUGUACCUGUAACAAAAUUCAACCUACAACUAGUAGUAUAGAGCUGCUAAACAAAACUGAAAAAUAAAUAAACAUCAGAUUCACUAUACAUACAAAAGCUCUUAGAUACAACAUCUCUCGCUCCAGCGAGUAACAAGUAUAAUUAUGUACAUAAACCAAAA
rnacentral:lncRNA from 1 species